CCUACGGGAGGCAGCAGUGAGGAAUAUUGGUCAAUGGCCGGAAGGCUGAACCAGCCAAGCCGCGUGAAGGACGAAGGUGCCAAGCAUUGUACACUUCUUUUGUCAAGGGAAAAAAUCAGGCUCGAGAGCCUGACCGAGGGUCCUUGAAGAAAAAGCAUCGGCUAACUCCGUGCCAGCAGCCGCGGUAAUACGGGGGAUGCGCACGUUAUCCGGUUUUAUGGGGUUUAAAGGGUGCGUAGGGGGACUGUUAAGUCAGCGGUAAAAGCCCGGGGCUCAACCCCGGCGAGCCGUUGAAACUGGCUGGCUGGAGAUGUCGAGAGGUAUGCGGAAUGCGGAGUGUAGCGGUGAAAUGCUUAGAUAUUGCGCAGAACUCCUAUUGCGAAGGCAGCAUACCGGCGGCGAUCUGACGCUGAGGCACGAAAGCGUGGGUAUCGAACAGGAUUAGAUACCCGAGUAGUC
rnacentral:rRNA from 1 species